rnacentral:rRNA from 1 species
GGAUGUGAUCAUACCAGCACUAAUAUACCAGAUCCCAUAAUUCCGCAGUUAAGUGUGUUUGGGCGAGAGUAGUACUAGAAUAUGUGACCUCCCGGAAAGUUCUCGUGUUGCAUCUC